GAGUUGGAAGGGAAGAAGACUCCGAUUAGGAGUCUUCUUCCUCCUUUCUUUCGUGGGUCCUAUGGGCUCAUCGAGAUUUUGUCAAGCCCAAGAGCUCUGUGGGCUGGGCCAUUACAAUUUUUCUGGAAAGAAAAAAGAGUUAUUGUGUAUGCAACAUAUAAAUCAUUGUUAAAUGUAACAGGCAAUAGCCCAACUUAUAUAACUCGGAA
rnacentral:lncRNA from 1 species